rnacentral:rRNA from 1 species
AACGAACGCUGGCGGCAUGCCUAACACAUGCAAGUCGAGCGAGACCUUCGGGUCUAGUGGCGCACGGGUGCGUAACGCGUGGGAACCUGCCCUUAGGUUCGGAAUAACUCCCCGAAAGGGGUGCUAAUACCGGAUAAUGUCUUCGGACCAAAGAUUUAUCGCCUUUGGAUGGGCCCGCGUUGGAUUAGCUAGUUGGUAGGGUAAAAGCCUACCACGGCGACGAUCCAUAGCUGGUCUGAGAGGAUGAUCAGCGACUCUGGGACUGCGACACGGCCCAGAAUCCUACGGCAGGCAGCAGUGGGCAAUAUUGGACAAUGGGCUAAAGCCUGAUCCAGCAAUGCCCCGUGAGUGAUGAAGGCCUUAGGGUUGUAAAGUUCUUUUAACCGGGAAGAUAAUGACAGUACCGGGAGAAUAAGCCCCGGCUAACUACGUG